AGCUGCCCUGCGCAUCUGCGUUACUAGUCCUGCAAGGGAGGUCACUCUCUCUCUCCUCGUCUCCUUCUCCAGACUUUCGACUCAACGUCUCACCGCUAGUGCUGCGCGUUCCUUCAUAAUGUCCAGCACGAGCCGCUACCCGGCCCUGCCGAGCCGCAUGUCCCUCAUCGCCUUCAAGACGCGUCUGAAAGGUGCGCAGAAGGGGCACAGCUUAUUGAAAAAGAAAGCCGAUGCCCUGGCGCUGCGCUACCGGACGGUGAUGGGUGAGCUGCGCACAGCGAAGCUGGAAAUGGCGAACCAGAUCAAGGGCUCCUACUUCACCAUCACGCAGGCACAGUUCAUUGCCGGAGAUAUUAGCCUUGCCGUGCAGGAGUCGCUCAAGAUCCCGACUUACCGGAUGGAGCUGCAGGUGGAGAACAUCGCUGGCGUGCAGGUGCCGAGUUUUCACACCCAGAACGACGACGCCGUCGACAGCCAAAGCGAUGCUGCGACGGAAUCGCGCCUGAAGUACGGCAACCCGUACUCCACGGGGGCCGUCACCGGCUCCCUCACAGCUGGUCUGGGUAAGGGUGGCGAACAGAUCAAGGAGGCCUACUCCGCCUUCCGACACACACUCUCGCUCCUCGUCAAGAUCGCGUCUCUGCAGACGAGCUGGAUUACGCUCGACAUUGCGCAAAAAGUGACGAACCGCCGCGUGAAUGCUCUGGAGAAGGUAGUGAUUCCGCGCGUGCAGAACACCCUCAGCUACAUCACGUCGGAGCUAGACGAGCAGGAGCGUGAGGAGUUCUUCCGCCUUAAAAUGGUGCAGAAGAAGAAAGUCACGGCAAAGAUCCAGCAGACCGCGCGCCAAGCGGAGACAGCCGGCAUCGAGGCGGAGCGGACGCGGAAGCGCAACCUCCUCAUUGCCCAGCGCGACGGUGGCGUGGCCGAGGCGGACAUGGUGGUGUAAAGCAGUAGAGGGAACACGGCCGCGCACACAAGUUGUUCGAAGCAAAAACGUGUCACUGGGCGAAGUGAAACCGGUAGAACAAGAGGGCCCGCCUCGCCUCCUCCUCCUCUUACGUUUGCGUAGCUGAUGGCUAUGGCACAUCUCCGUGGUUGGCCAGCCGUUUGAUCAACUUUCCCUCUUGGAGUGUGUAUAAGUGCAGGUGUGUGCGUGUGUAUUGGUGGUGCUGAUUAUUGGAUUGGGGUGGAGGAUGGUGUGUCUGAUGGAGUUGUACUCUUUUUCCGAAUGUGUUCCCGGAAGCGGAGCCCUGAUGCUGGGGGGCGGGGAGGUGGCACACCUCAGCGCAUGGUAUCCAGGCUCCAAUGCCCCCACUCUGUGUGUGGGAAAGCUGAGCAGCCCCCUCCCCCCCCCUUCUAUCCCCUGCCAAUGCUGCACCACCUCUGGUGGUGAUGGGGUCAGGUGCCUACGGCGUGGGGAGGUCAGAGCGAUGUACCGCCACUGAUGUCGGCGGCGAGGUCCUGGAUGGCGCUGCGUCUGAGUUACCUGCGACAGCGAACACGUUUGUGCCAUCCCUAUGACUAGGCAGAGUGCCAACGUGACUCGGGCGUCUCCCACCCCCCCCCCGGCCUUCACACCGCCAACUGGUGUGGGGGGCCUGGGCCAACUCGAGGAGGGUGCACCAGGUGGUGGCCGGCAUGAGGGGGGAGCGGAUGUGAGGCGGCCAGCGAGGUAAGGGGGCUGGGUCGAGAGUGUGAGGCAGGGCGCUGUGCAUUCACAUAACCGAGUCAGCGCACUGCUGUACCGACGUGUGUCUACCUGCUGCCUCGCACCACGCAAUGUAGGGUCUGUGGCAGGCCGGUGUUAGAGUGGGGUUGAGCGCACGCUGUGUGUGGCAGCGAAACGGGCACGCUGAAAAGGAAAAGCAAAGCACUUUGAAGCAGAGCUCACCUCCCGCUUCCCUUCCGCCCUCCCCCCCCCCUCCCCAUGGGGUACUGUACUUAGCGACGGUGAAAGCACCAGAAGAAUUGCACAAGAUGUCGAAAAGGGGGGAAUCGACAUCUUCUAGUCGUUGCAUUCCAUUCGAAAAGUGCACGCAAGAGCAUGUACAUGGACGCGGAGGAGCUACGCCAGAGAAGCGGCUGGCCCCCGACGGCAGUGCGAAGGGUGCACCACCGUGCGCUACGGUGACGAGGCACCAUAGCACAUCAUGGCUUCCAGCUAGUGUGGCACUAGCUGUGCAUCUUUUUCACUCCCAACCGACGGGGAGGCGUCCCACAUGACUCCGUCCAUCCGUGGCCUUUUUCUUCUGCUUGUCCAGCAGCGUCCCUUUCUUGCGUUCCUCCUCUACCCUCUUUAACGUAUAUACAUAUAUAUAUAUAUAUAUCCGCUACGCUGCUGCAUCCAUCAUCCGCAG
rnacentral:misc_RNA from 1 species